CAGAAAUCAGGCAAAUUAUCAAACUUCGAAUUCAAACUUCGACAACCUCAAUUACCUGCAUUUUGUGUUUUGAAUGAGAUACCAAAAGAUCGUUGUAUGAAACUGGAAGGAGACGAAGGUAAAUUUGUAUGUGUAAACUACAAAUCAGAUAUUGACAGAAUUGGGGAUGACUUUAGAUUUGAUUUACAGAGGUGUAAUCACAAACGUAUCCAUAACUGUUGUGCGAUUAUCUGAAAUUGUAUAUACACAUUAUGAUAUACUAGUAUAUAUUAUUAUAUUAUGUUAUUACGUAUUGCCGUUGGCCGUAAAUAAUGUCAUAUUACCUAUUCCUGUUGGAACCAUAUAUUCCGUUAGGAACAUAUACUGUAAUAUUUAUUCCUGUGGAAAUAAUAUUCCAGAAUAGUUCUUUCUUUUGAAACUUAUAUUAUGAAGGAAUUUCCAUUCCGUGACAGGACAAUUAACCUAUGAAUUGUUAAAUUUAUAUAUAGUGUAGGUUAUACUCGUAAAGAUGUUUAUUUAGAUAUGUGUAAAUGCUACACCAAAUGUUUUUUUUAAAAUGUGAGCCCAAUGUAACAAAAGUUAGUAUUUGUUGUGAUUUUUUUAGGGUAUUUUUUUCUUAUGUAGUUCGUUGGGAAAGAUCAGUUCUGUAUUAAUUAAAAUCAUUAUAUCGACAAACAUUCAGUUGGCCAAGGACGUAUAACUAACAUCUAAUAUACGUCUUAGGCUUGGGUUGGCAGAUAACGAAUAUACUGAUGAUUUAAAUAGCAAGUCAUUUCGUACCCUGACCAUUUCGUACAUCUGUCAUUUCGUACCUAAAUUUACCAAAUCGUACCCACGAUAAUAUUCAUUUCGUACCAUAUGGGCCAAAUGUAUCUACCCUUUCGUACCUUAUGGAUUUAUUACACG
rnacentral:lncRNA from 1 species